UAAAGACUAAUAUUGUAACAUAAAAUUAGUAAAAACAUAGGAACAAAGAAAGUUGCCAAUUAUCUGUUUGAUGGUAUUUGUUGGAGAAAGGCUGCUUGAGGUGGCUUCAUUAUUUUAUCCACCAUUAUUUUCAUGUAACUUAUAGGCAGCUCCAGGUUGAGACCAAAACUCUCCAUACCUCUACUCAAAGCAUCAACCUAUUUUCUGACCUUGGUCAUUUGAGAAUACAACGACAAGAGUUGAUUAUGGGAAGCAAAAAAGUAUUUGGUGGUGAAAGGGGAUCUGUGAUUGGAAGUUGCAGGAUUAUUUUCUUGGUAGCUUAUUUUAAGUAUCAA
rnacentral:lncRNA from 1 species